UACGAAGGGGGCUAGCGUUGUUCGGAAUUACUGGGCGUAAAGCGCACGUAGGCGGGUAUUUAAGUCAGGGGUGAAAUCCCAGAGCUCAACUCUGGAACUGCCUUUGAUACUGGGUACCUAGAGUAUGGAAGAGGUGAGUGGAAUUCCGAGUGUAGAGGUGAAAUUCGUAGAUAUUCGGAGGAACACCAGUGGCGAAGGCGGCUUACUGGUCCGGUUCUGACGCUGAGGCGCGAAAGCGUGGGGAGCAAACAGG
rnacentral:rRNA from 1 species